rnacentral:misc_RNA from 1 species
CCACCCUCAGGCCCUGCCUGGUGUUGGGGGCCUGCGCACGCAGCCCCUGAAAGACAGCGGCGGUCCCGAUCUAGGUCCCGAGCGUAGUACUAUACGUCGCUCCGGGCGCCUGGCGGGCUCCGGCCGUAAGCCUCUUUUUUACAAGG